GAUCUGUUGAUAAUUAGAGGGUAUUUCAUCAUAUUUCGAGUUAUAAUUCAUUUGGGUUUUAUUUUUAAAUAUGCGAAUGUUUGCAAGAAUUUGCCUGAAAUGAUCCUGUUUCAAUUGUUUAACAUGCACACAGUUACCCAUUCCAAUGAAAACUUGAAUCGACAGGCAAAACGAAUUUAAUUAUGAAAAUAUAACUCUUCUAGCUUAUCAGUGUUUGUUUAUUUGCAGAUUGAGGCAAUGGUACAACAAAUUAAUUGUUGUCCCAUUCGCUUCCAUACGAAAGGCAUACUCUUUAUUGAUAUUGAAACACUCCUGAAACUUUCGCGAUUGGUCGUCACUUGCGUUUUGUUAUUCAUACAAUUCACACAAAUGUACUGAUCACCCGAAAAGCUAGGUUGUUUUGCUCAUGGCGAAUGUAAUGGCCGAUGACAUCUUUUCAUCCAAUUAAUUGAAAAAUGCACUAAUAAACCACCAUAGGGUGACAGCAUCAACAAAAUUCAAAUUGGCGCGCUGUUUAGUUCAGAAAAAAUUACGAAAUUACAUUGAUUUGCCUAUUGAAAUUGAGGGCGCUUGCGUCGCCACAAUUCUCAUUUAAGUUAUUUUCGGUCUAAGCUGCGACCCCGUUGUAAACGACUAGCAUUACUAGCAAAAAAUAAUAUUUCAUUUGUAUGAAAAUUCAAAUGUAUCCUAUAAAACACUUGUUAAGAUUCAAGUGUGAAACAAUCAAUGUGUAUUACGUUCGAUGACUCACAAUCAUAUAUCAGGCAACUUUUUUGGAAGCUAAAAAAUAUCAUUUGUGAGUGUAUUGAAUAAUUCAGUCUACAAAAAUGAAAG